rfam:Triticum aestivum genome assembly, contig: Triticum_aestivum_CS42_TGACv1_scaffold_129985_2BL
AAAGUACUCCCUCCGUCCCAAAAUUCUUUCCUUAGAUUUUUCUAGAUACGGAUGUAUCAAGUCACAUUUUAGUAUUAGCUACAUCCGUAUCUAGACAAAUCUAAGACAAGAAAUUUGGAACAGAGGGAGUAGUUG